rnacentral:rRNA from 1 species
CUACGGGCGGCACCAGUGGGGAAUAUUGCACAAUGGGCGCAAGCCUGAUGCAGCCAUGCCGCGUGUAUGAAGAAGGCCUUCGGGUUGUAAAGUACUUUCAGCGGGGAGGAAGGGAGUAAAGUUAAUACCUUUGCUCAUUGACGUUACCCGCAGAAGAAGCACCGGCUAACUCCGUGCCAGCAGCCGCGGUAAUACGGAGGGUGCAAGCGGUAAUCGGAAUUACUGGGCGUAAAGCGCACGCAGGCGGUUUGUUAAGUCAGAUGUGAAAUCCCCGGGCUCAACCUGGGAACUGCAUCUGAUACUGGCAAGCUUGAGUCUCGUAGAGGGGGGUAGAAUUCCAGGUGUAGCGGUGAUAUGCGUAGAGAUCUGGAGGAAUACCGGUGGCGAAGGCGGCCCCCUGGACGAAGACUGACGCUCAGGUGCGAAAGCGUGGGGAGCAAACAGGAUUAGAUACCCUUGUAGUC